rnacentral:rRNA from 1 species
GACGAACGCGGCGGCGUGCUUAACACAUGCAAGUCGAACGGAAAGGCCCUGCUUUUGUGGGGUGCUCGAGUGGCGAACGGGUGAGUAACACGUGAGUAACCUGCCCUUGACUUUGGGAUAACUUCAGGAAACUGGGGCUAAUACCGGAUAGGAGCUCCUGCUGCAUGGUGGGGGCUGGAAAGUUUCGGCGGUUGGGGAUGGACUCGCGGCUUAUCAGCUUGUUGGUGGGGUAGUGGCUUACCAAGGCUUUGACGGGUAGCCGGCCUGAGAGGGUGACCGGCCACAUUGGGACUGAGAUACGGCCCAGACUCCUACGGGAGGCAGCAGUGGGGAAUAUUGCACAAUGGGCGGAAGCCUGAUGCAGCAACGCCGCGUGCGGGAUGACGGCCUUCGGGUUGUAAACCGCUUUCGCCUGUGACGAAGCGUGAGUGACGUAAUGGU